UGCCAGCCGCCGCGGUAAUACGAAGGGUGCUAGCGUUGUUCGGAAUUACUGGGCGUAAAGAGCAUGUAGGCGGAUGAAUUAGUCAGAGGUGAAAGCCCCGAGCUCAACUUGGGAACUGCCUUUGAUACUGCUGGUCUAGAGUCCGGGAGAGGUGCAUGGAAUUCCGAGUGUAGAGGUGAAAUUCGUAGAUAUUCGGAGGAACACCAGAGGCGAAGGCGAUGCACUGGACCGGUACUGACGCUGAGGUGCGAAAGCGUGGGGAGCAAACAGGAUUAGAUA
rnacentral:rRNA from 1 species